rnacentral:siRNA from 1 species
CAACUGUGCUACUUUCUCCGUU